ACUACAACUACCACUACCUUCGCAACCACUACCACUACCACUACAUACCACGAAUCCGCGUCACCGCUUCUACGCGACUACCACGCCAAAGCGCUCGCCACCACUACCAACCACUACCUACCACCAUCUCUUCCUCUACCACGACACUAUCACCAACCACUGUCCUUACUACUACCAUCGAGAGCGGAGUCUCCACCAUCGACGCAACCCGGCACCACUGGAUUCUCUCCUCUACCCUUCAACCACUAUCCAUUGCCACCAAAGCACCCGGCUACCGGCACAGUUUCCCUUGUGUAGGUGGAAUAACCCCCUCGUCUAUAUCCUCGGCUACCGGUGCAGCAGGUAGAUACUGACGACGCUACUACUAUACGUCCCCCCUUCCUCUUCGUCUUCUUCCGCACCCGCCACCUUCGAACUCUCCACCAUCCCGCCGAUAUACACCAUCGUCUACCCCCUUUCUCUUUCGCGUUUCCCACCGUCAACCCGGUCGUCUCUCUUUCCCCCCUUUUUGCUCUUCCCAUACUCUUCGUACCACCUACCCUUUCUUCCUGCCACGUCGGAAAGCUCGUGAGUGCCUGGCUGCUUUCCUACCUAACGUGUAGUACGACAGAGUACGCGCGACUACGCGAGCAGUAUCGUGCAGGAUGUAUUCCGGUGUUGUACGAACAGUCUAAAUGAUUCUCUCACUCCUAUCUUGCUAACAAAAUUGCGCAUACAGGAGAUAGGAACAAACAUUUUAAUCGGCAACGUAAAAAAUUCAAUUCGUCUACGCAAUUAUUUGCAAAACUAAUAUAAUCGAUAGUAGAAACAUAGUGUGCUACGAGAAAGAUUGAAAACAAACCACUAGAAUACGACUGUGUUCGAGCAUUUGUAAUGGUAAGACGAAAUCGGAGAAAUCAUUGAUCCUGUUUUUACGGCAGCGCGUUAGGCGUGUAUAAUUAUUCGUCGUUACUUGCGACGACGAUACCCCGCAACGACCACAGUGAUGUUGGGCGAGAGUUGUGUGUUAAUGAACGUCGAGUUACAAGAGUUUCUCACUCCGUCGUGAAUACGAGGGUUCCAUAAACCAAAGACUACGUGCAAGUAUUUCUUUCAUCACUCUAUUAAUUAAAAAAUUGUCCUUACCCGAAAAUGUUCUUAUUCAAAUUAAAUACACUAUUGCCAAAUGAAUGCAUUGUUAUAAUAUAAAUAUUCAUGUAUGCAAUUGAAUAUAAAUAUCAGUCAAUCUAUUAUUAUCUGUCUAUGAUGCAUUUAAUUGUUAUCGGUAAUUGAUUAUAAUGCAUAAAAUACCGGCUUCAAAUACUUUCUCAAUUUUCCGCAUGCCUUGUACAAUUAAAACAGAUGAAAAAUUUAUUCAGGUUUAUAUUUUUGCAUGUAAUUUUCUUAAUUAUCGUACACGUGAUUAUACCUCUUACGUGUACAUAUAUCAUCAUAUAAUCCUUUCAUCAGCAGUGAUGAAUUUAAAUUUCGUACUUCGUCGUAGCGACGAAUCAGAGGAUUGGUUGCGUCAUCUUUCCGGCUCGCUGAAGGGGAAGAGAUAUUUCGUCUGGUAUAAUUUCAUUCGCGUCGCAAUGCGAAGCGUUAAUUAUCGGCCUUCGGUGACGUUCCCGGGAAAUCGAGUUCCGACCUGGGUGUAUCUUGUCAUCUCGUCGACGCGACGCGAUGCGACGUUACGUCGCGUCGCUGUAUGUAAGUAUGAACAGAGCAGUCCACAUUGUGCGUCCGUCAACUCUCACCCGAUCGAUAGAUCGCGUUCGAAUAAGUUUGGCACCAGAAAUCAAAUCGGUUACAUUGUGUAACAAUACGGGGGAAUUAAUUUAAGUCGAUACCGUCCAUCGAUGGGAAUCGAAAAGUGGUGCCGCAAAGUUGUUUGCCUAUCGUUAUCGACAAAACGCGCCACGAAACGAGCUGCGCUGCCCGCGAAUCUAAUAAUCCUGUACGCAAACUGCAAUUAACAGGCGAAAAGUUUAAUUCCAUCGAGCGGUCCGCGCGCAAUUAAUCGCCGCUACCGGCUGAUCGAAUAUCAAACACUGCACCGCACGGAGACAAGUUACGAAAAUAACAGUUACGUUAUGGAAACAAUCAAUGAGGAUAAAUAAAAAAGUGAAAAAAGCCAGCAAGCAGAAUACCUGUAGACUACUUUAGAAACGACUGCAUCCGAAUAUUUCAUUGGAAAUCGAAGCGAAGCCAGCAAGAAUCAACUAAAUCCCCGAAGUCAUUUACUAAGCGCGCAAAAAAUCGUUGCCGAAGUCUGAUUUUUAGUAAUCAAACCAUAAGAAAGAUUGUAAAGACGUGGAAGUAACAUGAAAUUAUAAUUCUGAUAAUGGAUUAGUUUUUGUAUAGCAAACUACGUUUUAUGACCCGAAACUAAAUUUUUUCAAUAAAUAUUCACGUACAUUUCGCUUCACAUUGAUCGAUUGAGUUUCAGUAAUAUUCCUAGUUUCAAAUAUAAUCCAGAAGAUUCUGUGAUACAAAAUAAUUUAGAGACAACUGUCACAAAUACGUACUACGUGACCGCAAGAGUAAAUUGCAUCGUGCACCAAAAAUAUAUUUAUUGAAAGGAAGAGGAACGCAUUUGGUACGAAAGCAUCAUCUGGAUCUGCGUUUCCUCGCUUCCGAACCUAUCUUCUUCCUUUCCUCUAUCGUUCCAAGCCAGCAAAAUCGUCCACUUACAUGAAAUAUACGAGCAGGCAAUAUUUUAAGAUCUCCGAGCGUAAUAAUACUAUCGUACUUUCUGGGAGGGCGUUACAGCCAACUGGGCCGGCGAACAACCAUAAAAAUUCAACGAACGAGAUGGUACACCGUCCCGCUACAUUUUUUACAUUACGUGCAUACAUACAUAGAAGUUAACCACCGCGUCUAUAAUCUAUCCUUAUCUUCGUUAACAGAUUCGAGCACACUCUUAUUCCGCAAAAUGGCUUUCCUGUAAAUCGUGGCCGAAUCGUUUCGUCGCGUGGAUAAUCUUUCCUGCCCCCUACAACCCGCGAUACUAAUUCACCAAGCCGUCCAGCACAGUCGUAAAUAACCUCUUUCCUGGCUCUAGCUUUUACUCGCCUCUUAAUUCCCACCCGCAGAGUCUUACUGUUAGUAGCUUUGAUAGAGGAUCAGCGAUUUAAACGGUAAAACUAAACUAAGUAAGCAAUGUGUUAAUUCCUACCGUUGACAUAAAAUUUCAAAUAAAUGUAAUGAA